rnacentral:lncRNA from 13 species
CCUGAACUACCGGCUGAGGACAUACGAUGAUAAACAAGAGUAUAAUGUAAAACGGAAAUACAGAGACAGCAAAAGUAAACAUUUUACGAGUCAAGCGUCCUUCUGCCUGGGCUCUCGGUUGAAGACAGAAGUCCCUGGCUUUCUGUGUUCUGCCCCAAACGUCCACAUGGUGGCGUCUGGCGGGCCUUUCAGAAUAAACCCAGAGGUGAACGUUCCAGAAGGCAUUGAGAAAUCCGGCUCACAACAGGAAGAAAACAAACCAAAUGUCGGAGCCAGCAAAAACAGACUUCUUCUGAGCCAGGUGGCCUACUUCCAGAACUACCAGAUGAAGACAGACAAAGAUCGAAAAGGUCACGACGAAGAACAGAAAUACAGAGACAGGAAAAAUAAACUUAUGAGUCAAGUUGCCUACUACCUGGGCUGCCGGCAUAAGACGGAAGUCCCUGGCUUUCUGUUAUCUGCUUCAAACAUCAGCAAGGUGGCAUCUGGCCGGCCUCCUUACAGAAAAUACACAGAGGUGAACGUUCCAGAAAGCAUUGAGAAAUCCUGCUCCCAGCAAGAAAAUAACAAACCGAAUGUCCGAGUCAGCAAAAAUAGAUGUCUUCUGAGUGAGGCGAACUACUCCCUGAACUGCCGGCUGAAGACCUACAAUGAUCAAAAAGAUCAUGAUGAAGAACAGAAAUGCAGAGACAGCAAAAAUAAACAUCUUAGGAGUCAAGCGGCCUACUACCUGGACUGCCGGCUGAAGACGGAAGAAAGUCAAGGUGAUGUUGAGGAAGAGGAGGAGAAAGGGCCAGUGCCUCCCAGGUAAUGCUGUGGAGCUGUGGGCUGUUAGUUCCAUAGUGACACCUGGAGACUGCAGAUCCAGGAAAAGGAGAAAAUGAUGACUAGAACUCUGCCUUCCAUUCACCCAGCUACAGAUUGUCCUCAUUGACAAUGCUGUGGGUGAUGUGUGACACUUGUAUAGGUUUUAAUUUCUUAGUCCUCCCAAGAUAGGGACCUGCAAUCUGCUGAGCCAGGUGAACUCAGCAAACAGGGAUUUUUUUGGUUUCCCCUGUUCUCUCCCAUGGGUUUAAUUCCAGGGAGAGACGCGGAUAUGCUUUCUACCCAUUUGUUGUUAGCAUGUUUGCUAGGAUUUGUGAAGAGAAGAAAUUCAAAAAAUAUACAUAUGCUAUCAAAAUACUGGAAAAGGGAGGCCCUUAGUACAGAAGAUCUGGGUGUCUGAAAUGCCUCAGGAGCUCUGUUCACUUGAAUGCUGCAUGUAAAAUUCAACACAACUUACGCGAGGUAG